AUGGGACAAAUAGCUCCGGUGGCUUCUCCUCAGUCCAUGAACGGGGUUGCUAAGUGGCCGGGGGAGGCUUCAAUUCAGCGGGGCGUGCACACGGUUCGUCUUUGGCCCGUCACAUCGUCCUGCUGGAUGGUGACCACCACAGCUGCCCUGAGGCGUGGUCUUGCUCGCCGGUGCUGGGCGCGGCUCGGCUGGAAAGAAGAGGAGCUCCAUCCAGCCUGUGAAGUUCAGCCGGUGAACAUGUGCAGUCCGACGGCGCGUGUGUACUUGUGUCCGGUUCACGGGUGUAGUGUGUUUGGUGCUUGCGUGCACACGACAGCCACAUGUGGUGUGAGGAGAAGCCAAACUAAAAGAAGAACACACUUUCUUCACAUGCGUGUGCACGCAAGAUAG
rnacentral:rRNA from 1 species